GCGGCCGAGCCGCUGCGGUCUGUCCGCCACCUGUCCCGCGUGCUGCUCUUCCUGUCCCAGUGCUACAUUCUGUCGGGCGAUGAGAAUCAGCUGUUCUCUCACCUCACAGAAAGUACUGAGAUCCCUCCUUACAUGAUGAAGUGUCCAAGCAAUGGCUUAUGUAGCAGACUUCCUGCAGACUGCAUAGAGUGUGCGACCAAUGCCUCCUGUACUUAUGGGAAGCCUGUCACGUUUGACUGCACGGUGAAACCCUCUGUUACCUGUGUCG
rnacentral:lncRNA from 1 species